rnacentral:rRNA from 1 species
GAUGAACGCUAGCUACAGGCUUAACACAUGCAAGUCGAGGGACCGGCGCACGGGUGAGUAACACGUAACCAACCUGCACUUUACGCGGGGAUAGCCUUACGAAAGAAAGAAUAAUACCCGAUAUAAAGGAUGGGGAUGCGUUUGAUUAGGUUGUUGGUGAGGUAACGGCUAACCAAGCCUUCCAUGGAUAGGGGUGGUGAGAGGAAGGUCCCCCACAUUGGAACUGCGGCCCGGUCCAAACUCCGACGCGAGGGAGCGGUGUGGUAUAUUGGUGAAGGGACGCUGGCCUGAACCAGCCGAGUAGCGGGAAGGAGGAAGGCUUAUGGGUCUUAAUCUACUGUUAUAGAAGAUUCUGUAUUAUAUGAAUAAGGAUCGGCUAACUCCGUGCCAGCAGCCGCGGUAAUAC